UACAGAGGUCUCAACCGUUGUUCGGAUUCAUUGGGCGUAAAGAGCGUGUAGGCGGCCAGGUAGGUCUGCUGUGAAAACUCGAGGCUCAACCUCGAGACGUCGGCGGAAACCAUCUGGCUAGAGUCCGGAAGAGGAGAGUGGAAUUCCUGGUGUAGCGGUGAAAUGCGCAGAUAUCAGGAAGAACACCCGUGGCGAAGGCGGCUCUCUGGGACGGUACUGACGCUGAGACGCGAAAGCGUGGGGAGCGAACAGG
rnacentral:rRNA from 1 species